rnacentral:rRNA from 1 species
AGUGAACGCUGGCGGUAGGCCUAACACAUGCAAGUCGAACGGCAGCACAGUAAGAUCUUGCUCUUACGGGUUGCGGGUGGCGGGCGUGUGACGUAUACAUCGGACUCUAGUUUUUCGUGGGGGAUAACGUAGGUGAACUUACUCUAAUACAGCAUACGCCCUACCGUGGAAAGCAGGGGAACUUCUGACCUUGCGCGGUUGGAUGAGCGGAUGAGGACUUAGCUAGUUGGGGGGGUGAAGGCCCAGCCAGGCGCCGAUCCGUAGCCCGUCUGAGAGGAUGGUCGGCCACCCUGGAACUGAGACACGGUCCAGACUCCUACGGGAGGCAGCAGUGGGGAAUAUUGGACAAUGGGCGCAAGCCUGACCCAGCCAUACCGCGUGGGUGAAGAAGGCCUUCGGGUUGUAAAGCCCUUUUGUUGGGAAAGAAACGCAGCAGGUUAAUACCCCGCUGUUCUGACGGUACCCAAAGAAUAAGCACCGGCUAACUUCGUG